AAUGUCUUAAAAUAAUAGUUGUCAACAGGGGUUAAGUAACAAUCCAAAAUUACUUGGCAGUUCAAUACUUGAUGUGAACUAAGAAGCAUGGGCACUCUUAUUAGGAUACAGUGUCUUUGUGUGACACGUAUUGUGUAGGGUUGGACACAAAUUUUCCUCAGACACAAGACAUGUGACCAAUAUACCGUAUGGCAUAUCCUGUUUUUUUUCUACAAGUUUAACUUAAAGUAUUAUUGUCAGCAUGAAACCCGCAAACAUACAGGAUCGUUGUAUAC
rnacentral:lncRNA from 1 species